rnacentral:rRNA from 1 species
GAUGAACGCUGGCGGCGUGCCUAACACAUGCAAGUCGAGCGAUUUACUUCGGUAAAGAGCGGCGGACGGGUGAGUAACGCGUGGGUAACCUGCCCUGUACACACGGAUAACAUACCGAAAGGUAUGCUAAUACGAGAUAAUAUACUUUUAUCACAUGGUAGAAGUAUCAAAGCUUUUGCGGUACAGGAUGGACCCGCGUCUGAUUAGCUAGUUGGUAAGGUAACGGCUUACCAAGGCGACGAUCAGUAGCCGACCUGAGAGGGUGAUCGGCCACAUUGGAACUGAGACACGGUCCAAACUCCUACGGGAGGCAGCAGUGGGGAAUAUUGCACAAUGGGCGAAAGCUUGAUGCAGCAACGCCGCGUGAGCGAUGAAGGCCUUCGGGUCGUAAAGCUCUGUCCUCAAGGAAGAUAAUGACGGUACUUGAGGAGGAAGCCCCGGCUAACUACGUGCCAGCCGCCGCGGUAA